CGACGAAGAACCUUACCUACCCUUGACAUCCAGAGGAUUUUCCAGAGAUGGAUUAGUGCCUUCGGGAACUCUGAGACAGGUGCUGCAUGGCUGUCGUCAGCUCGUGUUGUGAAAUGUUGGGUUAAGUCCCGUAACGAGCGCAACCCCUAUCCUUAUUUGCCAGCGAUUCGGUCGGGAACUCUAAGGAGACUGCCGGUGACAAACCGGAGGAAGGUGGGGAUGACGUCAAGUCAUCAUGGCCCUUACGGGUAGGGCUACACACGUGCUACAAUGGGGAGUACAGAGGGACGCAAAGCGGCGACGUGAAGCCAAUCCCAAAAAAGCUCUCCUCAGUCCGGAUUGGAGUCUGCAACUCGACUCCAUGAAGUCGGAGUCGCUAGUAAUCGCGAAUCAGAAUGUCGCGGUGAAUACGUUCCCGGGCCUUGUACACACCGCCCGUCACACCAUGGGAGUGGAUUGCACCAGAAGUGGCUAGUUUAACCUUCGGGGGAACGGUUACCACGGUGUGGUUCAUGACUGGGGUGAAGUCGUAACAAGGUAGGCGUAGCGAG
rnacentral:rRNA from 1 species